ensembl:lncRNA
CCCCACAUUGGGGCGCCCCCCCCACGAUGCGGAGGAUCCUCUCCAUGAGGAAGAAGAGGAACAGCGCUGCCAACACCACCAGCAGCUGCCAUGGCUGCACACGCGUGUGCGCCUCCGCGUGCUCCUCGUGGCCCCCCUCCUCGUGCACGUGCAGCUCUAGGAACUGCCCCGCACACACGCGUGUUAACACGUGUGGGGGGUGUGGGCACGUAUGGGGUCAGACGUGUGGUCGUGUGGGUGGGAAUGGGCACGUGUGGUCAUGCAUGUGGUCAUACGUGUGGUCAUAUGUGUGGGAAUGGGCACAUGUGGUCAUAUGUGUGGUUAUAUGUGUGGUCGUGGGUCAUACGUGUGGUCAUAUGUGUGGAAAUGGGCACAUGUGGGCAUGUAUGGGGUCAUGCCUGUGGUCGUAUGUGUGGCUAAGGUUCAUACAUGUGGUCAUAUGUGAGGCCAUAGGUGUAUGUGGUCAUGUAUGUGGUCAUACAUGUGGUCAUAUGUGUGGGAAUGGGCACAUAUGGUCAUGCAUGUGGUCAUACGUGUGGUCAUAUGUGUGGAAAUGGGCACAUAUGGUCACAUAUGUGGUCAUACGUGUGGUCAUAUGUGUGGGAAUGGGCACAUAUGGUCACAUAUGCGGUCAUACGUGUGGUUAUAUGUGUGGUAAUGGGUCAUACAUGUGGUCCUAUGGGUGGUCGUGGGUACGUGUGAUCAUGUAUGCGGUCAUACAUGUGGUUUUAUGUGUGGAAAUGGGCAUAUGUGGGCAUGUAUGGGGUCAUGUGUGUGGUUAUAUGUGUGGCUGUGGGUCAUACGUGUGGUCAUAUGUGUGGGAAUGGGCACAUGUGGUCAUGUAUGUGGUCAUGCGUGUGGUCGUAUGUGUGGCUGUGGGUCAUACGUGUGGUCAUAUGUGUGGGAAUGGGCACAUGUGGUCAUACGUGUGGUUAUAUGUGUGGGAAUGGGUCAUACAUGUGGUCAUAUGUGUGGAAAUGGGCACAUGUAGUCAUGUAUGUGGUCAUGCGUGUGGUCAUAUGUGUGGCUGUGGGUCAUACGUGUGGUCAUAUGUGUGGGAAUGGGCACAUGUAGUCAUGUAUGUGGUCAUACGUGUGGUCAUAUGUGUGGCCAUGGGUGUAUGUGGCCAUGUAGGUGGUCAUAUGUGUGGUCGCGGGUGUGUGUGGACAUGUAUGUGGUCAUACGUGUGGUAAUGGAUCAUACAUGUUGUCAUACAUGUAGUUAUAUGUGUGGCCAUGGGUCAUACAUGUACCCAGAACCACAUGUAUGACCACACAAACACCCAUCACCACACCUAUGACCACACGUAUGACCACACCUGCACCCAUGACACCACGCACGUAUGACCCCAGCCGUGCCUCCCCACACGUAUGACACACGCGUGUGCCCCCACCUGCAGCAGGAGGUGCAGCGUGACCACAUCUAUGACCACAUACACGGCCAUGACCACACGUAUGACCACAUAUGUCCGCUCACACACCCAUGACCACACGUAUGACCACAUAUAUGACCACACACACACCCAUGACCACACGUAUGACCACACAGGUCACCCCACACACCCAUGACCCCAUGUAUAACCUCACGUAUGACCACACACGCACCCACUACCCCACGUAUGACCCCAGCCAUGCCCCCCCCACACGUAUGACACACGCGUGUGCCCCCACCUGUGGCAGGAGGUGCAGCAUGACCACAUCCAUGACCACAUACACACCGAUGACCCCAUGUAUAACCUCAUGUAUGACCACACACGCACCCACUACCCCAUGUAUGACCCCACCCACGCCUCCCC